CUUCAUCUUGAGCAAAUGGGAGUGUUUCAGG
rnacentral:rRNA from 1 species